GAUGAACGCUGGCGGCGUGCCUAAUACAUGCAAGUCGAGCGAACGGACGAGAAGCUUGCUUUUCUGAUGUUAGCGGCGGACGGGUGAGUAACACGUGGAUAACCUACCUAUAAGACUGGGAUAACUUCGGGAAACCGGAGCUAAUACCGGAUAAUAUUUUGAACCGCAUGGUUCAAAAGUGAAAGACGGUCUUGCUGUCACUUAUAGAUGGAUCCGCGCUGCAUUAGCUAGUUGGUAAGGUAACGGCUUACCAAGGCAACGAUGCAUAGCCGACCUGAGAGGGGGACCGCCCACAGUGGAACGGAGACCCGGUCCAGACUCCUCGGGGAGGCGCCAGUGGGGAUUCUCCGGCAAGGGCCGAAAGCCUGACGGAGCAGCCCCGCGUGGUGGAUAAAGGUCUUGGGAUCGUAAAACUUUUUUAUUGGGGAAAAACAUAUGUGUAAGAAACUGUGCACUUCUUGAGGGUACCUAACCAAAAACCCACGGCUAACUACGUC
rnacentral:rRNA from 1 species